UCUGAAGCACGCAUUCGGAGGCCUCUGCUCCCUCAGAAACCUUUAAGAAAGAACCCUUUCUUGCCUCUUCCUGGCUUCUGGCUGUUUGCCAGCCAACCUGGACAUCCCCUGGUGGAGCAGUACCACUCCAUCCUUGACCUCUAUAUUCAUCAGAGUGUCCUCGACUUCCUCUUCUUACGAAACAGGUCUUACCUCACAGAUGAAUGGACUAAUGAGGGGAUUUGAUUCAGACCCACACAGACUGGAAAACUGACUUCAAGAUAUAUCCACGGGCCACGUGCAAGAUAUAUCUACGGGCUACAUGCAUUCACCGUGAUCUGGACCCAGGGAGACUAUUCAUAUCACCUGAGAUGGCUAAGCACUUAGAAGGCUAGUAAAACACUCUCCUGGACAUUUCCUUGAGGACAUUUCCAGAGAGGAUCAUCUAACAGAGGAAGCCAUUCCCUCAACCAUGGGCAGCACCUUUCAAUAGACUGGGAACUUGGGUGGAAUCAAAGAUGAAGAAAGAAGCCUGUUACUGCAGACCUUCUCUCUGUCUCUGCCUGACCAGCAGCAGGUGACUAGCUUCUGCCAGUGGUCCUGCUUCCCGAGACUUUGAGUGAAGUAUGGUGGAAUACACCUAUAAUUUUAGUACUUAGGAGGCUGAGGCAGGAGGAUUAUAAGUUUAACCCAGGCUAGCUUGGGUUAUAUAGUAAUACUUAUCUCAAAAAACAAAUGGAUAAACAACUAAAUAAAUAAAUGGAAUGAGAUGAUUAAUCUUUUCAAGGAAA